GACGAACGCUGGCGGCGUGCUUAACACAUGCAAGUCGAGCGGAAAGGCCACUUCGGUGGUACUCGAGCGGCGAACGGGUGAGUAACACGUGAGUAAUCUGCCCCUGGCUUUGGGAUAGCCACCGGAAACGGUGAUUAAUACCGGAUACGACCACUUCUCGCAUGGGAUGGUGGUGGAAAGUUUUUUCGGCCAGGGAUGUGCUCGCGGCCUAUCAGCUUGAUGGUGAGGUAAUGGCUCACCAUGGCUUCGACGGGUAGCCGGCCUGAGAGGUUGACCGGUCACACUGGGACGGAGACACGGCCCAGACUCCUACGGGAGGCAGCAGUGGGGAAUAUUGGACAAGGGGCGGAAGGCUGAUCCAGCAACGCCGCGUGAGGGAUGACGGCAUUCGGGUUGUAAACCUCUUUCAGCAGGGACGAAGCGCAAGUGACGGUACCUGCAGAAGAAGCACCGGCCAACUACGUGCCAGCAGCCGCCGUAA
rnacentral:rRNA from 1 species